rnacentral:lncRNA from 1 species
GGCCAGGGACCUGAGCUGCUGCAAUCAGAUUCUUAACCCACUGUGCCACAUCAGGAACUCCCUUUUUUUUUUUUUUUUUUUUUUUUUGAAAUUUAUUUUUUUUUUUUUUUUUUUUUUUUUUUUUGAGAAUUAGAUGUUUCUUUGAUUUGUUUUCCUCUUCCUUGUGCGCAUUUGCUCAAACAACCUCAGGGCUUCAACAAAGUAAGUACAGGCCAAGCAAAUGCAGUACGAAAACAGGCAUCAAUAAAUCAAUGAAAAUGACACACAAAGGGCACCCUUAUCUUGCAAUGGGAGGAGGAGAUAAUUGGCUUUUAAGAGAAGGUCUUGUCUUGUUUGGGGUGAGUGUAGGAGGAGGGGCAGGGAGGAGUGUUAGCUGACCAAGGCAAAUGGGAAACUGAAGGGAAAAAAAAUUCUGGAAACAAAACAAACCACACGAUGCAGGCUCUCAGCUCAGAGCUGUGUUCAGGGCCGACUGGGUUGUGCUUGGAGCCCCAGGAGAGGGAUCUUUUCCCAGGCUGGGCUGACGAAAGAGGGGCCAACCACCUGAGCACUCGGAGGGGAAGAUCUUCCUUUGCCUGUCCUUCCCACCUCUUGGCAAUUAGUGAAAUGUCUGAACACAAAAAGAAAGCCUCAUCCUCUCUCCUGGAGCAGCUUCAUCAUUUGGAGUUCGGGGUGUCCAAGGCUCCCCAGUGAUUGACGGCAAGGAGGAACAAUGUGACGGGCUGGGGGUGGGGGUGAGAGCUGGGGCGGGACACUGGGAACAAAACAGCCAAGUUCUCCAGCUACAGGCUGCCUACUCCAGCUACCAGCCCACGCUGGUGAAAAGCGGGGCUCGGGAACAGAAGCAGCCACCCGCCCCCAGCCUUGGGAAGAAAUGGUUUUACCUUGGGGGGUGGGGGGCAGGGCAGGCCAGGAAACAAGGGUGAGGCUGCCAGGGUGGCAGGAGCUCUGUUUAAAAACACUCGCACAGGAUGGGAAGAACUCGCAAAAGGAAAAUAAUUACAGCGUUUUAGCCAACAAUGCAUCUGCUUAAACUCAGGUAUAAAUAGAUCCUUAAUCCCUCCUCUAACUCAGCACAGCUCAUUAAUCUCAACCUCGAGCAGCCGCUCUGAGGGAGCAGGGGAAUGUUUUCUGGUGGGGCCAAGGGGCUCCCUUCCCCUCCCCGAAGCACCAAACCAUCUCACCAAGGCUGCUCCGUCCCUGGAGAGGAGACAAGGCCAAGAGGUAGAAUAGCAAAGGGGCAGCAUUCAAAAUCCCUCACACUCACACAUACACUGUGAAAGGGCACAACCACUUUGGAAAACCGUUUGGCGGUUUCUUUUUUCUUUUUUGCAUUUUUAGGGCUGCUUCCUUGGCAUAUGGAGGUUCCCAGGCUAGGAGUCCAAUUGGAGCUACAGCUGCCGGCCUGCACCACAGCUACAGCAAUGCAGUGAGAUCCAAGUCCCGUCUUCAACCUAUACCACAGCUCACAGCAAUGCCGGAUCCUUAACCCACUGGGCGAGGCCAGGGAUCGAACCCACAACCUCACGGUUCCUAGUGGAUUCUUUUCCGAUGUGCCACAGUGAGAACUCCUNCAACCUCGAGCAGCCGCUCUGAGGGAGCAGGGGAAUGUUUUCUGGUGGGGCCAAGGGGCUCCCUUCCCCUCCCCGAAGCACCAAAGCAUCUCACCAAGGCUGCUCCGUCCCUGGAGAGG